rnacentral:lncRNA from 1 species
GGCACAUGAUAUAGUGGCAUUUAUUAGGUAUAUGCACAUAAGGAUAAAAGAAUAAAAACAAAUUAAAUUUUUUCUUGAUUACCUAACUAAACACUUAUUUUGGACAAAAAUUAAAAAGUAAAAGAGAUACUCAUUAUGGACCGGAGGGAGUACUAUUUUCUAAUCGGAAACAAUCGCACAAAACAUCUCACCACACCAAUUUACAUUAAAUGGCAUUCACCCCAAGCAAAUCACAAUAAACUAAACAUUGAUGGAGCUGGAAUAUUUGGGGUUUUACGCGACCCUCAAAGCCACUGGAUCAUGGGCUUUGCUAGUAAAUCGUACCCAGCUACCAGUUUCCAGACAGGACUUCUUGCACUACUUAUGGGCCUGAAAAUUACUGUAUGCCACCACCUCACUCCCAUCGUCAUUGAGACCGAUGCCCAAGAAAUCAUCGGUAUGUUCACGACGCCUGCUAUGCAUUAUACAAACAUUAUCAAUAAUGGCAGUUUGCUACUUCUACAGCUAGAUAGGCCUCAUAUGAUCAUAUCCAACAUGUCCAAAAUAGUUUAGCUAAAUAUGAACCCAAACAUGCAGUUGGGAACAAUUGUCUACAUUUUGGAACCCCACUACCUCCUUUUGUCGAGCCAUGCUACCAGAAAGAUCAAGCAGGAACAACGCAUCGGAGCCUCGUUAAAACAACAAAAGAGCUUUCAACCAGUGUCCCAACACAACCGAUCUAUGAUCUAUCUAGUUUUUGUAAUAGUAAUGUUUUGUCUAGUACUGAACCCCAAGCUGGGGCAUUUAUAGUAACUCCUAAUAUUAGCUUUGUUACUUCGAUGCCUAUGAUACAUCUCGCUCCGUGUACUAACCUUAAUGUUUAAUUUCUAUUAAUAUAACUACUUCUUUAUGCCCAAAAAAAUUAGAAUAAACUUGCACGCACAGACAAGUUCACAGUACAACGUUCAAACCUCGGCAUUGCAUAUCUAUACCAGUAUUCUAAAAGGCGGGGAUAUGAGGCGGGGACAUUUUACCCACUAAGACGAGAGACUUAAUCCCUUAGGCAUCGAACGUAAGCUUCAUGGAUCGUUAAAUUUUUUAAUUUAUAAAUUUAUUAAAUAACAUAAUAACAUAAAAAUUAUAGAAAGUAUAUCCAAAAUUUGAAGAAAAUUACAAAAUAUUGAAAAUUUCGUAGAAAAUUAAAUAUCUAGCAUGUUUUUACUGGCAAAAAAUCAAUGAUGUCAGUUUUACUAUGAAACACAAAUCAAUUAUAACGUCUUAACUUUCAAAAAAUAUGACAAUUUCUUAAUAAAUAUUAUUGAAUCAAAUAUUUUACCUUCCUAAAAGUAAAUAAUUAAUAAACUUUACCAGUGUUAUAAUUUAAAGUAUUACUCCUUCAUGAAUAAAUACAAAAUUUCUUUCAAAUGACAAAAAAAAUAAAAGUUUAAUAAUUUUGAGAGACAUAGAAGAUAGAACUAAGAUAUAAAGGCUGCCUAUAGCAAGUGAUGAUAUAAAGUUUUGCUGUUUUAGAAAAAUAUUCAAAUUAUAUUAACGCUCAUGUUAUUCUCAAUGAGUAAUUAUGCAAUAUUAUAAUGUUAUUUGAGUCUCUCUCAAUCUUCAUACUCCUAUAUAUGAAUAAAACUAUAAUCAUUCAUUUGUUAAAGAAUUUUGAGGGUUAAUGGUGUUAGUUAGAAAAUUUGACACAUCAUUUGAGUUAUAAUUAUUGGGUAAUUAUUACUGGCAGAGCCUUGAGCGGUGGGCAUCUACGUUGCAGAUUCACCAAAAAUAUUAUCGGAUACGUGUCGGAUUCUCCAAAACCAGUAUAUUUUUGGAGAAUCCGACACGAAUGCGGCAAUAUUUUGGAGAGUCCGCAGAACAUAGGUGGGUGUUUGACGUUUUUAGGGAGCCUCACAUAACUAUGCCCACACGUGAGCCUCAGGGCAUUUUGAUAGUGCCCCGCCCUCGGGCGAGUGCUGGGAAAGUCCCAAAAAAAUCUUUUGAAAUACUGAUCUAUACAUGCAUACAUUAAUGACAUAGGGAUCGCAUAUUCUUGCUCAAAGUUUUUAUAUCAAACUUAACAAAGGUCAUGCUAAGUCAAAAAUACUGCUGAGUUACGUUUUUAAGUUUUGGGAUGAUCUGCCUGUUUUGAGUAGUAUGAUUACACUCCAAAAAAUGUCUUGAAAAUAGGAGCUUUUUUAUACUCGGAACUUGAGAACUUUAAUUUGAUGAAGUAAAUCUAAGUUCUUGCCUACUUUUCAAUUAAUCACUCGAAUUUUGAAUGGUUCACCAAACUUUGGCUGAUUACUAAUCAUCAUUUUACCUACUGAAAUAGAACAAAGAUGCCAUCUGGUUUUAAGUUCUAUAACUUCGUCGAUCAAACAAUCACGACACCCUCAAAAAUCAACACUCUAUCCAUUAGUAAUAUUUUUUACAAAUGAAGGAUCCAAAAUUAAAGCGAUGUUUCUUAAUAGUCAUAAAAAAUUACAUACACUAAUGAAGAGAGGAAGGGAAUGAUCAUUAUUCUUAGCUCAAGAAUCUUACAACAAGGAAAUUUGAUAAGGGAGAGUUAAUUUACUUGCUGUAACAUUACAUAUUUAGAUAAAACGGGCCGGGUCGGGCUCAACGAUCUGAAUCAAUUGAUUCUAUGAUUGAAUAGCUAAGUGCUACUUAAUAUUAUAAAUUGAAGAAAGAAACAGAGAGGGGACUCUUUCAUACCUUAUCGAUCGAGCCGAACACGCAUGGAAGACAUAGGUGAAUAGUGGCGAGCAGAUACAGAAGGAGACCUCCUAUGGACAAACAUGCCUGAAAAUCGAACCAUUGAAUUCAGAAUCCAAACUAAGUCCCCCAACACAUAAGCUAAUUCCUCAUAUAUGCUCAUGCUUUUCCUUAACAUUACAUGCAUCACUACUGUCAUUGCAUCUCCAAAUCUAAUCAUUUUAAUGCUUUCUUUGAUAUGUGUGGAGAAAGUCACACGAGUGACCAGCGUUCAAUGAAUUCCAAGUCUAUCUAUUAAAUGGGGCAGCAAAACAAAGGCCAGAUGACCUAGAACUUGUUUCUUUGUUUCUUUUGAAUCUUUAAAUGAAUGAAAAUAAUAUGUGAACACCUCUGUACUAGUAUCAAUUAUUUGGCAUUAAAUAUUAGUGUACUAAAACUCUAAUGAAAGAAAGAAGUGCUAAAGGGCAUGGUAGACUUACUUAAAUACCCUUUUUCUUUAACUUGUCAAAGCUUCUCACUACUUGUGAAAAAUUAAUGUAGUUGUUGAUGAAAAUGAUGAAUUCUAUCGCUUCAAAGAAAAGCAACCAUUUCCAUGCAGCUUGUUUUCUUGGAAUCUCACCUCCAAAACUGCAAAGAAAACAUUGCUGCUGGAACUGAUCAAAAUGGGGUUUCUAGAAAUCAGAUUAAGAAAAACAGGAGAUUGAAUUUUUUCCUUUAGCUUUUACCAAGGUGAGGAGGUCAGGUUCGAUGCAUGGAAACAGCUUUUUGCAUAAAUACAAGAUAAGGCCUUAAUGCACCGAGAUGCUUUUUAAGGUGCUUUUGAUAGAGCCAUGUUGGAAAUCCAUAUUUAUUCGCAUUAAUUAAGCUGUUUGGCUUUCCUUUUAUUUCUUUGUUAUUUUUUAUGUGUGAGAUGAAGGGGCAAUAAUGUCAAAAUAAUCGAAGGAUGUCU